AUUGAACGCUAGCGGGAUGCUUUACACAUGCAAGUCGAACGAGCGGCGGACGGGUGAGUAAUAUAUGGGAAUGUGCCCAGUAGCGGGGGAUAACUACUCGAAAGAGUGGCUAAUACCGCAUACUAUCGGAGGGGCCCAUAUCGGAUUAGCUAGUAGGUGGGGUAAAGGCUCACCAAGGCAACGAUCCGUAGCUGGUCUGAGAGGACGACCAGCCACACUGGGACUGAGACACGGCCCAGACUCCUACGGGAGGCAGCAGUGGGGAAUUUUGGACAAUGGGGGAAACCCUGAUCCAGCCAUCCCGCGUGUAUGAGAAGGCCUUCGGGUUGUAAAGUACUUUUGGCGGAGAAGCGGUAUCUGCAGAAUAAGCACCGGCUAACUACGUGCCAGCAGCCGCGGUAAUUC
rnacentral:rRNA from 1 species